GGGCAGAUGGCCGAGUGGUCUAAGGCGCUGCGUUUAGGUAGAAUUCUAAGCAUCCUCCGCAGUCAGUAAUGGCGUGGGUUCGAAUCCCACUCUGCUCA